UACGGGGGGGGCAAGCGUUGUUCGGAAUUACUGGGCGUAAAGGGCUCGUAGGCGGCUAAGUAAGUCGGGCGUGAAAUCCCACGGCUCAACCGUGGAAGUGCACUCGAAACUGCAUAGCUAGAGUCCUGGAGAGGAAGGUGGAAUGCUUGGUGUAGAGGUGAAAUUCGUAGAUAUCAGGAAGAGCACCGGUGGCGAAAGCGCUCUGCUAGGCCGCAACUGACACUGAGGGACGAAAGCUAGGGGAGCGAAUGGG
rnacentral:rRNA from 1 species